GUCUGGUGGGUAGUUUGACUGGGGCGGUCUCCUCCUAAAGAGUAACGGAGGAGCACGAAGGUUGGCUAAUCCUGGUCGGACAUCAGGAGGUUAGUGCAAUGGCAUAAGCCAGCUUGACUGCGAGCGUGACGGCGCGAGCAGGUGCGAAAGCAGGUCAUAGUGAUCCGGUGGUUCUGAAUGGAAGGGCCAUCGCUCAACGGAUAAAAGGUACUCCGGGGAUAACAGGCUGAUACCGCCCAAGAGUUCAUAUCGACGGCGGUGUUUGGCACCUCGAUGUCGGCUCAUCACAUCCUGGGGCUGAAGUAGGUCCCAAGGGUAUGGCUGUUCGCCAUUUAAAGUGGUACGCGAGCUGGGUUUAGAACGUCGUGAGACAGUUCGGUCCCUAUCUGCCGUGGGCGCUGGAGAACUGAGGGGGGCUGCUCCUAGUACGAGAGGACCGGAGUGGACGCAUCACUGGUGUU
rnacentral:rRNA from 1 species